ACGGAAAAGGGGAAAAGGGCUUAGUGGCGGACGGGUGAGUAACGCGUGGGUAACCUGGCCCAUACAGGGGGAUAACACUUAGAAAUAGGUGCUAAUACCGCACAACAACAGAAAGCGCAUGCUUUUUGUUUGAAAACCAAGGUGGUAUGGGAUGGACCCGCGUCUGAUUAGCUAGUUGGCGGGGCGACGGCCCACCAAGGCGACGAUGUCUAGGGGUUCUGAGAGGAAGGUCCCCCACACUGGUACUGAGACACGGACCAGACUCCUACGGGAGGCAGCAG
rnacentral:rRNA from 1 species